UGGGGGAUAUUGCACAAUGGGCGAAAGCCUGAUGCAGCGACGCCGCGUGGGGGAUGAAGGCUUUCGGGUUGUAAACCUCUUUCGCUAUCGAACAAGGCCCGCUUAGGGUGGGUUGAGGGUAGGUGGAGAAGAAGCGCCGGCUAACUACGUGCCAGCAGCCGCGGUAAUACGUAGGGCGCGAGCGUUGUCCGGAAUUAUUGGGCGUAAAGGGCUUGUAGGCGGCUUGUUGCGCCUGCUGUGAAAACGCGGGGCUUAACUUCGCGCGUGCAGUGGGUACGGGCAGGCUUGAGUGUGGUAGUGGUGACUGGAAUUCCAGGUGUAGCGGUGGAAUGCGCAGAUAUCUGGAGGAACACCGAUGGCGAAGGCAGGUCACUGGGCCAUUACUGACGCUGAGGAGCGAAAGCAUGGGUAGCGAAGAGG
rnacentral:rRNA from 1 species